rnacentral:rRNA from 1 species
AUUGAACGCUGGCGGCAUGCUUUACACAUGCAAGUCGAACGGUAACAAGUUAAGCUGACGAGUGGCGAACGGGUGAGUAAUGCAUCGGAACGUGCCCGGUCGUGGGGGAUAACGCAGCGAAAGCUGCGCUAAUACCGCAUACGAUCUGAGGAUGGAAGCGGGGGACCGUAAGGCCUCGCGCGAUCGGAGCGGCCGAUGUCAGAUUAGGUAGUUGGUGGGGUAAAGGCUAACCAAGCCAACGAUCUGUAGCUGGUCUGAGAGGACGACCAGCCACACUGGGACUGAGACACGGCCCAGACUCCUACGGGAGGCAGCAGUGGGGAAUUUUGGACAAUGGGCGAAAGCCUGAUCCAGAAAUGCCGCGUGCAGGAAGAAGGCCUUCGGGUUGUAAACUGCUUUUGUACGGAGCGAAAAGGUCUCCUCUAAUACAGGGGGCUCAUGACGGUACCGUAAGAAUAAGCACCGGCUAACUACGUGCCAGCAGCCGCCGUAA